CCUACGGGGGGCAGCAGUGAGGAAUAUUGGUCAAUGGGCUUACGCCUGAACCAGCCAAGUCGCGUGAGGGAAGACUGCCCUAUGGGUUGUAAACCUCUUUUGUCAGGGAGCACUUUGCGCUACGUGUAGCGUUAUCGAGAGUACCUGAAGACAAAGCCUCGGCUAACUCCGUGCCAGCAGCCGCGGUAAUACGGAGGAUGCGAGGGUUAUCCGGAUUUAUUGGGUUUAAAGGGUGCGUAGGCGGAAUGCCAAGUCAGCGGUAAAAUCGGGGGGCUAAACCUCGCUUCGCCGUUGAAACUGGCGGUCUUGAGUAGGCGAGAGGUAUGCGGAAUGAGUGGUGUAGCGGUGAAAGGCAUAGAUAUCACGAAGAACUCCGAUUGCGAAGGCAGCAUACCGGAGCCCAACUGACGCUGAAGCACGAAAGCGUGGGUAUCGAACAGGAUUAGAUACCCCGGUAGUC
rnacentral:rRNA from 1 species